rnacentral:lncRNA from 1 species
UAUGUAUCUAUGUAUCUAUAUAUAUAUAUAUAUGUAUGUAUGUAUGUAUCUUUGUAUAUAUCUAUAUAUAUAAAGAGAAAUCAAAUGAUGUAUCUCAGCAUGCAAAUUGUGAGCCCAUGUACCUUGCCAACUCUUCACCGGUAGGCAGACUACUUUAUCCCCUCCUAAGAUGACUCUAAACCAUCAUUUUUUUCCUCCCUCUUUGGUUCAUCUUUUUCAUUUCAUUUAUUAAUAAUUUGUCAUAAACUGCAUUUAUUUCUGCUUUUUCUUACUUCUAAUAGUUUUCUACUUGCCCAAGUGAUCAAAGCUAGUAUUGUUUGUGAGUUUACAUCUAGCUGAUGAUAUUGGUAUGCUGUUGCUCAGCCUGUUGUUUAUAAUGCUUCAUAACCAACCCAUUACAUCAUGGUAUUGGUAGAUUGUUGCUUGGCCUUUUGUAGCUUGUGAGUUUCUAGUGUCAAUUACUCUUACUCCUUUCUGUGAAUAACACUUACUAGCAGUAUAGUUUAGAAUAGCUAUCAGAAAUGUUUGGUCUUGCAAAAAAACAUGCAUAUGUAUACAUACAAGC